rnacentral:rRNA from 1 species
GACGAACGCUGGCGGCGUGCUUAACACAUGCAAGUCGAACGGAAAGGCCCUGCUUUUGUGGGGUGCUCGAGUGGCGAACGGGUGAGUAACACGUGAGUAACCUGCCCCUGACUUUGGGAUAACUUCAGGAAACUGGGGCUAAUACCGGAUAGGAGCUCCUGCUGCAUGGUGGGGGUUGGAAAGUUUCGGCGGUUGGGGAUGGACUCGCGGCUUAUCAGCUUGUUGGUGGGGUAGUGGUUUACCAAGGCUUUGACGGGUAGCCGGCCUGAGAGGGUGACCGGCCACAUUGGGACUGAGAUACGGCCCAGACUCCUACGGGAGGCAGCAGUGGGGAAUAUUGCACAAUGGGCGGAAGCCUGAUGCAGCAACGCCGCGUGCGGGAUGACGGCCUUCGGGUUGUAAACCGCUUUCGCCUGUGACGAAGCGUGAGUGACGGUAAUGGGUAAAGAAGCACCGGCUAACUACGUG